CAGCAGAGUUGCACUUGAUUACAUAUGCUUCACAAGUGAAAAGUUCGGCUAAAAUGCUACGAUUAAUAAGAUUAUUUACAGUACUUCUCACCUUAGUUUUCAUGGUCGAACUCGUCUCUACGGAAGAUGAGGCUGAUUCCCCUCCAUACGUGUGGAAUUGCUUUUGCGAUGAAUUAUGCCGAAUAAUCAAAAAUUUUAUCACACCUUUGAUCUUACAAGAAAGCAGAAGAGGAAGAUCAAUGCGUAUUCCUGGAGUUUUUCAACCCAGUUUAGGCGUAUUAGAAUGGUUGAGAGAUGAAACUGGGUUACUGGGUACCAUCUUAAGAAACGGCUUCGAUAUGGUGAAAGAAGAAGCUAAGCAGUUUGGCAAUGAUAUUAAGGAUUCUAUUGCUGUUUUGGUCGUCGCAGGUUCCCGGCAAGUCAGGCAAUAUUAUAAUGAUGUUGUGGUUCAUCGUAAUCAAACAGAUCCUUUUCAAUUGUUUUGUGAGAAAACUCGUCGUUUAGGGUAUUGCAAAUGUUCAUUGCGAGAGAUAUAACUACCUAUUGAUGAAAUUUGAAUAUUUUUUAAGAAUAUACUGCAUGUUAUUGUAAUAAUUGGCGUGACAUUUAUUAUAAGUUUCGGGAGCUUCAACGUUUACCAAAUAAAUAGGUACCUAUACUCUUUUGAAGGGAAGGUAAUGCUUAUGAGUUCGUAUUGAUGUUUGCAGAAUGAUGACCGUUAUUUACAAAAUUUAUUAAACAGUUGUGAUGUUUAAAAUC